rnacentral:tRNA from 1 species
UCCCCCCUAGCUCAGUUGGCAGAGCGGGUGACUGUUAAUCACUAGGUCGUUGGUUCGAGCCCAACGGGGGGAG